UUCUUGUAUUGUCCAAUUUUGGGCAAUGUCAGUUAUCAUUUUUAUGCAUUUUUACAAUAGGUAUUACGAUUUGGUGGAGAUUUCUUUUCCGAAUCCACUAAGUUGGUCAAUCAAACAGUUUAUCUAUGUCUUUUUGAAGUUAUUUAUACUUUAUUUUCCUGCUUUUUAAGCUUGUAUUUUGUUAUUUUUCAAUUGACAUAUUGAGCCAUAGCUAGUCUUAGACACAAAUAUUUUGUGAAACAAACUUGUCAACAUUUCAUUUGUUGCAGAACAAUCCAUGAUAAAUCAAAACAUAUUUGUAAUGCAAGCAGGAUAACUGUUAUCUGAUACAUAAAAAGGUAAAACAACUUCAUUUAUUCAAAAACACCAUUUCCAUAACUAUGAUAAAACACUGAUAUAUGUCUCUUAAAUGGAUCAACUACUAAAUAAGCAAAAGUUUGUUGAUGAUCUGUAUCUGUAGGGUAGAUCUGAGAAUCUUCAUGCUGAAAAUAUAAUACAAAAAUUUUUCUUUAUAGGACUUCACAGCAAAAUGUUGUUUUUUUUAUGAACAAUGCUAUAUAUAUACAUAGAUAUAUACAUUGUAGCUACUAUAAUAGCAAAAAAUAAAAUAAAUUCCUUGGUAGUUUUCAAAUAUGUCUUGUUGUUUCUCAGAGUUAUGGUUUAUAGCCUAAGAAAAUGGAAAAUACAUAUUUGAUGUAUAUUUUCAAUUGGCAAAGUAUGUGCGCACCCAAGAAACAACUUUAUGUUUGGUGAGAUUAUGUCAAUAGUUUUGAUAAAGCUUCUCUUAAAUUAUUUUGUUGUUUCUUGGCUGCGCACGAUGUUUCCACAAUGGAAAUAAAGAUGGAAAACUGCAUAAAUUCUGAAUUUUUCAUUGUUAUCAUGAAAAUGCUACAUAUAAUGACGUAAUUGUGACGUCAUCAGAUAAAAAUAUUAUGUUUUUCAUUUAUAUUUCUUGACUCUAUGCAUUUCCAAACAUUAUGUGCCAUUUUGAAA